AGAGUUUGAUCCUGGCUCAGGACGAACGCUGGCGGCGCGCUUAACACAUGCAAGUCGAGCGAUGAAAUCUUGACAGAUCCCUUCGGGGUGAAGAUAAGAUGGAUUAGCGGCGGACGGGUGAGUAACACGUGAGUAACCUGCCUUAGACAUUGGGAUAGCCUCGGGAAACCGGGAUUAAUACCAAAUAAAAUCAUAGGUGCACAUGCACUAAUGAUCAAAACUCCGGUGGUCUAAGAUGGACUCGCAUCCCAUUAGCUAGUUGGUGAGGUAACGGCCCACCAAGGCGACGAUGGGUAGCCGGCCUGAGAGGGUGAACGGCCACAUUGGAACUGAGAGACGGUCCAAACUCCUACGGGAGGCAGCAGUGGGGAAUAUUGCACAAUGGAGGGAACUCUGAUGCAGCGACGCCGCGUGAACGAUGAAGGCUUUCGAGUCGUAAAGUUCUUUUAUAUGGGAAGAUAAUGACGGUACCAUAAGAAAAAGCCCCGGCUAACUACGUG
rnacentral:rRNA from 1 species